rnacentral:lncRNA from 1 species
GGGGUCCGCAUUUCUAAUUCAUUUGCAAUUGAGGCAUAGAGCUUGAUCUAGACAAUAGAUGGUGUGGAAUAUGCACUAGUCUCAAGUGCUUUUUAAUACAUCUGAUGUUACUUGUAAUGUGUCACCAUCCUCAAUACAGUGAGUACAGGCCAAUGCCAAUACAGUGAGUACAGGCCAAUGCCAAUACAGUGAAGACAGGCCAAUUCCAAUACAGUGAGUACAGGCCAAUGCCAAUACAGUGAAGACAGGCCAAUGCAAAUACAGUGAAGACAGACGGUACAGAAAAAAGUAUUACAUAAGGGUUCUUCGGGUGUCCGCAUAGGAGAACUCUUUAAGGUUCCAGGUAGAACCCUUUUUGGUUUCAGGUAGAACUCUUUGGGGUUCCAUGUAGAACCCUCUGUGGAAAGGGUUCUACCUGGAACCAAAAAGGGUUCUUCAAAGGGUUCUCCAAUGGGGACAGCCGGAGAAGCCUUUUAGGUUCUAGAUAGCACUUUUUUUCUAAGAGUGUACUGACCAAUGCCAACACAGCGAAGACAGACCAUUACCAAUACAUCUUGAACAAUGCCUAUGUGAUUUAUAGUUCUUAUAUUUGUACCUUUAGCUGAGCCUCCAGAUAUAGACUUCUUGUGGAGUGACUGAGUGGAAGAAAAAAAGGGGGAUAUAGAGAGGAGUGACUA